rnacentral:rRNA from 1 species
CCUACGGGAGGCAGCAGUGAGGAAUAUUGGUCAAUGGUCGGGAGACUGAACCAGCCAAGCCGCGUGAGGGAUGAAGGUACAGAGUAUCGUAAACCUCUUUUGUCAGGGAACAAAGGCGGGGACGCGUCCCCGGAUGAGUGUACCUGAAGAAAAAGCAUCGGCUAACUCCGUGCCAGCAGCCGCGGUAAUACGGAGGAUGCGAGCGUUAUCCGGAUUUAUUGGGUUUAAAGGGUGCGAAGGCGGUCUGUUAAGUCAGCGGUCAAAGCCCGGGGCUCAACCCCGGCCCGCCGUUGAAACUGGCAGUCUAGAGUUGGAGAGAAGUAUGCGGAAUGCGCGGUGUAGCGGUGAAAUGCAUAGAUAUCGCGCAGAACUCCGAUUGCGAAGGCAGCAUGCCGGCUCCACACUGACGCUGAGGCACGAAAGCGUGGGUAUCGAACAGGAUUAGAUACCCGUGUAGUC